AUGCGUGGUGACAGCCCUGCCUGCCUCCGCCGCCCGGAGGCUCUGCUGGCUCAUGUUCCUGUCUUUGUGUCCUCUUGCCUGACCACUUCCUCUUGCUGGGAGCGAGCGAUCCUUUGGGUAGCAGUUGCAGAAAUAGUUUCAGACACAGAAAUAGCUAAUAACGUCAGCUCAAAGCACCCAGCCCCUCAUGCUCUAGCUUCCUGUCAGCUGCAGCGGUCGGUGGUGCUCCUCACAGCAGCCUCGUCCAAGGCCACAGCCUGCAUCAACGCCGAGUGUCCUCGCGCCAGUCCUGCAGCGCUGCCCCAGGGCAGGGAGCGAUGGAGUCAGGGCUGUGGGGCAGGAGACUCGGUGCUGGACCCCGUCCCGUGCUGCCCACCCGUCAGUACCGUCCCCCGGGCUUUGCGUGGUGAUCUCCAAAGGCAACGUCCCUCAGAGUGCUGCGGCCUUCUGCAAGCAAUUUGCUGGGUUACAAGUUCGGAGGAAAACAUCCUCCAGGACCAGCGCUGCUUCCCGCCCCGCAGCCCCGCUGCAGCACCCGCGGCCACGUUUUCGAGGGGACCACGCACAGCACCACGAGCACCGGCACUGCUCCCGGCCUGGGGGCUCGGCAGCUGGCGGCUCGGAUCUUGGAGGCCUCUCUCAGCACCACAGCAGGGCCUUGAGCUCCCGGUAAGGUUUGGAGCUCCCGGUAAGGCUUUGAGCUCCCGGUGAGGCUUUGAGCUCCCGGUACAGCCUUGAGCUCCCGGCGGAGACGAGCCCCGCGGCGUGCUCGGCGGUGCCGCUGCGCCUUUGGAAGAUGGCUGCUAGGAGGGCAGCCACGAGGCGACAUUUCGCGCCUCCCGCUCGUUUCGCACACCCAGCACCGGCCCGUUCCCGGUGCCGUUUCCAAACAACCUAACGGUCCCUCCGGUACCGGGACUACCGGGAGACCCUUCCCACCCACCGCGGGGGCUCCCAACGGACCCCUUCGACCCCUCGCCGCGGGACGGGACCAAAGGGACCGCGCCGUGCCCGGCCGGGCCGUGCCGUGCCGGACCCCGGGGGGUCCCCGCUCGGUUCCCGGUUGGGCGGCGGGGCCCUCCCGCGCUCCCGGUUGGGCGCGGCCCCGCCCCCGGCGCUCAGUUCCCGCCAGCGGCGGCCAAUGGGCGGGCGCCCGCCGCGCACGGGGCUUUUCCGCGCCAAACUCCAAAGGGCCGGGGAGAGGCGCGGGGCGGCGGCGGGGCGCAGCGCGGCACCGGCCUCCAGCACCGCCACGCCGGUGAGUCCCGCCGCCGGCCCCCGAGCCCGGGACGCGGUAAGGGGACGGCGGAGGAGCCUCCCUUCCCCUCCUUCCCCUUCGGUUCCCCUCCCUCCCCUCCCCGUCCCGGUGACAGCUGCCGGCACCGGGGGCCAGCAGCGCCCGUCCCCGCCGGGUACCGGGCGCGGAGCCGCUGCCCCGAGACUCCUCUACCGGGGGCUGAGCGCUGCCGGGACGGGCCGCGGGGCUCCGCGAGCGGCCCCAGCCCCUCGGAGCGCGGCCGGGCCGGGGGCU
rnacentral:lncRNA from 1 species